GACCGCUGCCAUAUAGCUGGAAUAGUGCGGAGUGUGGCGUAAAACUUAACUCACCUACUCACUCUUAUAUGUACCCUGAAAUGAAAACAUUGCUGAUGCCUGGAUUUGUACCAAAGUAGGCAAAAUAUCAUAUAAUUUUUCACAUGCAUUGUCCUAACAGACUCAUUGCCAGAUGCAAAAGAAGGAGAAACCCAUGACAAAAAGGAAGUGGAGAACAGACUCCAAACAAGAGUAGAUGUGAUGACACCAAGAUAGAGCAGCCACAUAUUACCUCGAGAGGUUAACCGGAAUGCAAAUCAACAGAAUAUGAUGCUGACCAAGUACCAGGAAGAGGUGUCCCCAUCACUGUAGAUGACAAGUGAUGACAGUUAUCUUGAUGGACUACAGGAAUGAUUCAAGUGCAUUCAUUAUGCAGUUUACUGAUUUGUUUGAUGUAUUUUGAUAAUUGUUCUGGCAUUCUGCUGUCAGCUGAGUAACACCUCCAUAAUGGAGACAAAUUAAGGAACUUCUGUUUUGAAGCAGUAAAAUAGUCUCAGCAAGAAUUUUUAUUUAUUUUGCCAGCAGAACAGAAGUUUCCAUUACUUUUCCCACACAAACAUUUUGUGCU